UGGGGAAUAUUGGACAAUGGGCGCAAGCCUGAUCCAGCAGUGCCGCGUGUGUGAAGAAGGCCUUCGGGUUGUAAAGCACUUUUAUCAGGAGCGAAACGCUGUCGGCUAAUACCCGGCGGAACUGACGGUACCUGAGGAAUAAGCACCGGCUAACUUCGUGCCAGCAGCCGCGGUAAUACGAAGGGUGCAAGCGUUAAUCGGAAUUACUGGGCGUAAAGCGUGCGUAGGCGGUUUCUUAAGUCUGCUGUGAAAUCCCCGGGCUCAACCUGGGAAUGGCAGUGGAUACUGGGAGGCUAGUAGUGUGUCAGAGGGUGGUGGAAUUCCCGGUGUAGCGGUGAAAUGCGUAGAGAUCGGGAGGAACAUCAGUGGCGAAGGCGGCCACCUGGGACAACACUGACGCUGAGGCACGAAAGCGUGGGGAGCAAACAGGAUUAGAUACCCUGGUAGUCCACGCCCUAAACGAUGCGAACUGGAUGUUGGUCUCAACUCGGAGAUCAGUGUCGAAGCUAACGCGUUAAGUUCGCCGCCUGGGGAGUACGGUCGCAAGACUGAAACUCAAAGGAAUUGACGGGGUCAUAGCUGUUUCCUG
rnacentral:rRNA from 1 species